AUCCCUUUCCCAGUUCCGGGCUGCUCCCUGUGGCCAGAGAAGGCAGCCUUGAAGGUGUUGGGUAAAGACCACCUGCCCAGCUCUCCAGGCUUGCUAAUGCGGGGGAAGGAGAUGCAGCCCAAGGAUCCUGAAGCUCUUGCAUCAAGUAGCUAUACUCCACCCAGAGCUGCCGGCCACAGGUCCAGUGAAAGAAAACUGUCAGGACCACCACUGCUGCUGCCACCAACCCCUCCCCGGCAAUAGAGGUGGAAUAGAGAUGACCUGCCCCCACCUGCUAAGCUUCCCUGCCUAUCUCCUGAGGGAUUCCUGGGCAACGUGGAUAAGAAGGACACCAGUAGAACAUCAGAAUCCAGGAGACUAAAACAGCUGCUUGGGAAGAUAAAGAAGACAUGGCAGGGCAGGCAUGGUGGCUCACACCCGUAAUCCGAGCACUUUGGGAAGCUGAGGCGGGCAGAUCACGAGGUCGAGAGAUCGAGACCAUCCUGGCCAACACGGUGAAACCCCGUCUUUACUGAAAAUACAAAAAUUAGCCGGGCAUGGUGGCUCGUGCCUGUAGUCCCAGCUACUCAAGAGGCUGAGGCAGGACAAUGGCUUGAACUCGGGAGGUGGAGGUUGCAGUGAGUGGAGAUUGCACCACUGCACUCCAGCCUGGCGACAGAACGAGAUUCCGCCUCAAAAAAGAAGACAUGGCAAACUGCAGUGCCACCCAGCCUGCCCCUGCUGUCUCCACACCUGCUGAGACUCCCUGCCCGGGCCACCUACACUUCACAGAUCCCAGCUCCUCCUCCUACCUCUGACUUGGCCCACAUGGCUGCUGGGCCCCUCACCCUGCCUGUCCCUCCACCUUCGCCCACACCAAGAAUUGAGUAAAAAUUGAUAUCCAUAAUUCCUAACUCUCCCCGGGGUCUUCCUGCUGAACUUGCCCCCAUUUUGGGGGUUCCACCUAAUGAGAAAGGAGGCUGCCCUCAUUCAGCUGCAGCUUCAGCACCUCUGACCUCUCAGCCCUGCCCCAUACCUCCUAGCCCCGCAUCUUUCUCCUUCCAGCUUCCCUUCAGAAGGGAGCCUCCUACACCCAUAUGUGUUUUCCUCUCCUCCUCUUUCCUCCCCAACUCCUCUUCCAGCACCUUCCACCGGGAUCCCUGCUAUCACUCAUCAGCAGAUGAAUUCCACAGCAGCCAUUUCCACCAUCACAGCAAGGGCAUCUGCCCACCUGACCUUGCAGCCUCCUUGAGCCCUCAGCUCUUUGCUAUGGACAUGACUUCCACUACUAACGCUGUGGUUUUCAAAUCUUCACCAAGCUCCAGAGUGAGCACCCUCUUAAUUUCCCAAAUUCAGUGCACAAUAGAGGCACCCUGGAAAGACAUCGGCUUACGUCUGCCUGGCUACAUUCAUAUUCUCCAGGCCCACCCCUCAGCCCACACUUGGGGCCCCCUGAUGGGCAGCAAUGAAAAGCCUCUGUCCCCAGUGCCCCUGUUUUUCCAAGCCUUCCCAUCAGGGCUCCUCCAGGCAACUCCAGUUUAUGGAGCAGCGUCUCUGCAACAUCCUCCUCCAGAACAGAUUGUGCGAUGGGGAAUGGCACCACAACU
rnacentral:lncRNA from 1 species